rnacentral:rRNA from 1 species
CAGUAGCCACGGGAAUACGUAGGUGGCAAGCGUUGUCCGGAAUUAUUGGGCGUAAAGGGCUCGCAGGCGGUUUCUUAAGUCUGAUGUGAAAGCCCCCGGCUCAACCGGGGAGGGUCAUUGGAAACUAGGAAACUUGAGUGCAGAAGAGGAGAGUGGAAUUCCACGUGUAGCGGUGAAAUGCGAAGAGAUGUGGAGGAACACCAGUGGCGAAGGCGACUCUCUGGUCUGUAACUGACGCUGAGGAGCGAAAGCGUGGGGAGCGAACAGGAUUAGAUACCCCCGUAGUCCCUGUCUCUUAUAA